CUAAGUGUACUUGCCAUGCUAAAUGUAUAUGUGUUACCUGCAGUAUUUGUAACAUUCUUGUACUUGUCUUUAUCUGCUUAUUUGUCUGUGAAAUGCUGACGGAGAUGGAGGUGUGGAGGAAUAUCAGUAUGGGACUUAGAUGUUAAGGUUAAGUUAAGUUAGGUUUAGAUACUCUUAGAAAACCACCUUUUUAUGCCUCCUGUUUAAUACUUUAAGCUCUAUAAUCUGAGUGUCGGCGUUCUAGGAUUGCCUCUGGCAUUCACAGGGCCUUAUAUAUUAUGUGUGUGGCACCUUUACCAUACUGAGAACCUCCAGUUCUCAUUCCAUACUAUGUUGUUGUUUUUCUGAUGCAGGUCAAGAGGCGUCUCAUUAGGCGCCUGGGCUCCUGAAGCAAAGUGGUUACUGGGCUAUUUUGUUAUACAGUGAUGUAUGUAUAUAUAUGUACCUAGCUUACUCUCCACAUAACUUGUUCUUUUUAUCCUCUUAGAAGUUUAUGGAGAGACAGGAUUUUGUUUAUGUACAUUUGGGUUUUGGAUAUGUAUAUAUAUAUGUGUAAAUAUUCUCCGGCCAGCCUUGACUUUGCAGGCUGAGUUAGGAG